UCGGCGUCCUGGAACGCGGCGAAGGUUUCGUCCGUGGCGCGCAUGAUCAGCAUGUACUUCAUGGUUCGUCUCCUUGGAUGUCGGG
rnacentral:tRNA from 1 species